rnacentral:lncRNA from 1 species
AUCCUUUUUAGGAACUGCCAGACUGUUUUCCAAAGCGACUGCACCAUUUUACAUUCCCACCAGCAGUGUGUGAGGGUUACAAUUGCUCCACGUCCUCGUCAACACUUGUUAUUAUCUGUCUUAUUGAUUAUAGCCAUCUUAGCGGGUGUGAAGUGCUAUCUCCUUUUGAUUUGCAUUUCCCUGAUGGGUUAAUAUUGUAAUAUUUAUUUUGCUAACUAAGGCAGAAGUUUUAAUCUUGUACUUUUAUAUGGAUACUGUCUUAAAUGACCAGAUCAACUUUCUCAAAACCAUAGCUCUGUACAAGACAAAUGCCAUUAUUUAUGGGAUUAGAGUUAUAUCUGGAAAAAACUCAAGGUAAAUGAUUUGGAGUUAACAAUACACACUCACCUGGGAGGUGGGUUUUGCAGUGAAUUCACUCACAGUGUUCCAGGGCUUUUAUCUGAGUUGCUCAUGUACUAUUGUAUGACAUUUACUGGAUAAUCCAGACAGCACUUCGAUUAAAUCCACAGUGUGAUGUCACCCAGUAAGCACUUGAAAAUGGAGAUGCAUGUCUCUUCUGGUUUUAUCAGUCAAGAUUAGAAGUGGUUCACAGCACAGUGAACUUUUUCUCCUGUGUUCUGUCAGUCUGUGUUUCAUUGUGGGCCAAUAAUCUGUCACCUGAAACUACUUAAAAUAGGUUGGGCUUUCUUGAAUGUUGUGUUGCUGUGAUGACAUCG